GGCUCGGUAGCUUAGUUGGUUAAGCACUCGACUAGCAUACAAGAGUCGUGGGUUAAAAUCUCACCUGAGCAC
rfam:Aedes aegypti strain Liverpool supercont1.767 genomic scaffold, whole genome shotgun sequence.